rnacentral:rRNA from 1 species
GAACGCUGGCGGCGUGCUUAACACAUGCAAGUCGAACGGGAGUAUUGAAGAAGCUUGCUUUAGAGAUACUUUAGUGGCGGACGGGUGAGUAACGCGUGAGGAGCUGUCCUAUGCAGGGGGACAACAGCUGGAAACGGCUGCUAAUACCCCAUAAGCCGAGAGGUAAAAGGAUCAAUCCGGCAGAGGAGGUACUCGCGUCCUAUCAGCUAGUAGGUGAGGUAACGGCUCACCUAGGCGAAGACGGGUAGCCGGCCUGAGAGGGCGAACGGCCACACUGGAACUGAGAUACGGUCCAGACUCCUACGGGAGGCAGCAGUGGGGAAUAUUGGGCAAUGGGGGAAACCCUGACCCAGCGACGCCGCGUGGGUGAAGAAAUCCUUCGGGAUGUAAAGCCCUGUUGUAUGGGAGAGCGGAAGACGGUACCAUACGAGGAAGCCCCGGCAAACUACGUG